GAUGAACGCUAGCGGCAGGCUUAACACAUGCAGGUCGAGGGGCAGCGCGGGAUAGCAAUAUCCUGGCGGCGACCGGCGGAAGGGCGCGUAACGCGUGAGCGACAUGCCCGUUGCCCGGGGACAACCGGUGGAAACGCCGACUAAUCCCCGAUGGGAUAUUGUGCCGCAUGGCACGAUAUUGAAAGUUACGGCGGCGACGGAUUGGCUCGCGUCCGAUUAGCUUGUUGGCGGGGUAACGGCCCACCAAGGCUGCGAUCGGUAGGGGUUCUGAGAGGAAGGCCCCCCACAAUGGGACUGAGACACGGCCCAUACUCCUACGGGAGGCAGCAGUGAGGAAUAUUGGUCAAUGGGCGGAAGCCUGAACCAGCCAUGCCGCGUGCGGGAAGGAGGCCCUAUGGGCUGUGAACCGCUUUUGCCUGGGGGCAAUAAGGGCGUCGCGCACGUCCGAUGAGAGUACCAGGCGAAUAAGCAUCGGCUAACUCCGUG
rnacentral:rRNA from 1 species